UACGAAGGGUGCAAACGUUGCUCGGAAUCAUUGGGCGUAAAGCGCACGUAGGCGGCUUCGCAAGUCGGAUGUGAAAUCCCUCGGCUCAACCGAGGACGUGCAUCCGAAACUGCGAAGCUUGAGUACAGAAGAGGAUCGCGGAAUUCCCGGUGUAGAGGUGAAAUUCGUAGAUAUCGGGAGGAACACCAGUGGCGAAGGCGGCGAUCUGGGCUGAUACUGACGCUGAGGUGCGAAAGCGUGGGGAGCAAACAGG
rnacentral:rRNA from 1 species